AUGUUGCAGGUGCAGCAUAGCCUCCAUGAGCUACUACUCCUGCUGCAGGCGAGGUCUCCGUCUCCACAUGCAGCCCUAGUGGUCUAUGCCUUGCUCGUCUGCCCUCUUCUCGUCAUCCUGGUCGUGCGCCGCUUUGGGACGGCCACCGCAAGAGAGCAGCUGCUGAGCAAGCUGCCUUCUCCCAGCUUCAGGCUGCCCAUCAUCGGCCACCUGCACCUCGUUGGCUCCCUCCCGCACGUCUCCCUCCGCGACCUCGCCGCCAAGCACGGCCGCGACGGGCUCAUGCUCCUCCGCCUCAGCGCCAUCCCGACGCUCGUCGUCUCGUCGCCGAGCGCUGCCCAGGCCGUGCUGCGCACGCACGACCACGUCUUCGCGUCCCGGCCCUACUCCCCCGUCACCGAAAUCCUCUUCUGCGGCCCCUCGGACGUCGCCUUCUGCCCCUACGGCGAGCACUGGCGGCAGGUCAAGAAGAUCGCCACCACGCACCUGCUCACCAACAGGAAGGUCCGCUCCUACCGCCAUGCGCGCGAGCACGAGGUGAUGUUGGUCAUGGCCAAGAUUGGAGAUGCAGCCUCCAAAUGCACCUCCAUCGACUUGAGUGACCUUCUUAGUGCCUUCACAUGUGACAUCGUGUGCCAUGUCGUCUCCGGCAAGCUUUUCAGGAAACAAGGCCACGAUAAACUCUUUCAUGAGCUCAUCGACGCCAACGCAUUGCUUAUCGGUGGAUUUAACCUGGAGGACUACUUUCCCAUGUUGGUGAAGCUGGGCAUCAUCAAGAGGAUGGUUUGUGCCAAAGCUCGAAAGGUUAACAAGAUGUGGGAUGACCUUCUCAAUAACCUCAUCGAUGAGCAUGCAAGCAAGCCGACGUCAGAACAUGACAACGAGGAGAAUGACUUCAUCGAUGUGUUGCUUUCUAUUCAACACAAGUACAACCUCACGAGAGACCAUAUUAAAGCCCAGAUGGCGAUCAUGUUCGAAGCUGGGACAGAUACAUCAUUUAUAGUACUGGAAUAUGCGAUGAUUCGGCUCGUGCAAAAUCCCCACCUCAUGCAGAAGCUACAAGAUCAGUUGAGGAGUUCUAUACCAAAGGGAAAAGAAAUGGUUACCGAAGAUGAUAUCAACAAUUUGGCCUAUUUGGAGGCGGUCAUCAAAGAGACACUUCGGCUCCACAUGCCCGCACCGCUCCUUGUGCCCUACCUCUCCAUGGUCGACUGCAACAUAAAAGGCUACAAGAUACCUUCAGGAACACGCACCAUCAUCAAUAGUUGGGCCCUUGCAAGCACUACACCACGGUUAAGUUUUGGUGACACAUCAAUCUGUUGGAAUAUGGUACCUUUGCCGACAGAUAAUUUGCCGCUAACACAUAUGCUGACAGAAGACAAAAUAGUCGGAGGACUUGCUGUGGGCAAAGGUAUUGCCGACAGAAGUUCACUUGCCGACACUUUUUUGGUCGGCAUACACCCUACCUACGCCGACAGAUGA
rnacentral:rRNA from 1 species